rnacentral:lncRNA from 1 species
UCCUCCAGCUGGUAUAAUAAUAACUCCACUACCAUAGACGUCCCCUCCUCCAGCUGGUAUAAUAAUAACUCCACUACCAUAGACGUCCCCUCCUCCAGCUGGUAUAAUAAUAACUCCACUACCAUAGACGUCCCCUCCUCCAGCUCCCACAGAGUAGGAGUGUAUCUGGACUGGCCAGCCGGCACUCUGUCCUUCUAUAGAGCCUCCUCUGACACACUGACCCACCUGAUCACAUUCACCUCCACAUUCACUGAGCCCCUCUAUCCAGGAUUUGGGAUUUAUAAUGUUGGCGACUCAGUGUCCCUGAAAUAAUAACUGGACACACACACACACACACACACUGGACACACACACACACUGGACACACACAUAAAUACACACUGGACACACACACUCAACACACACACACUGGACACACACAUACACACUGGACACACACACACUGAACACACACACACUGGACACACACAUACACACACACACUCACUGGACACACAUACACACACACACUCACUGGACACACAUACACACACACACUCACUGGACACACACACACACACACACUGAAACACACACACACUGGCCACCCACUUAAACUGGACAAACACAAACACUGGAAUGACAUACACACACUCACUCAAACGGACAUACAAACGCACUGGAAACACACUGGACACACACACACACUGGACACACACAAACACACUGGACACACACACACACACACACACACACUGGACCCACUGGAUAAACACACACACACUGGAUAAACACACACACACUGGAUAAACACACACACACUGGACACACACACUCACUGGACACACACGCUUGACACACACACACGCUUGACACACACACUGGAUACACACACACAAACACACUGGAUACACACACACACACACACACACACACACACACACACACACUGGAUACACACACACACACACACACACUGGAUACACACACACACACACACACACACAAACACUGGAUACACACACACACAAACACACUGGAUACACACACACACACACACACACACACACACACACCCUGGAUACACACACACACACACACACACUGGAUACACACACACACACACACAAACACACUGGAUACACACACACACACACACACACACACACAAACACACUGAACACACACACACACACACUGGAUACACACACACACACACACUGGAUACACACACACACACACACAAACACACUGGAUACACACACACACACACACACACACACAACACACUGGAUACACACACACACACAAACACACUGAACACACACACACUGACACACAUAAACACUGAAACACACAAUUGACAAACACACACUGGACACUCACACGUGUUAAAUCAGUUUCUGGACCACAGGUUCUAGAACAGCUUCUAUCCCAGUUCUAUCUGCCUGUUAAAUCAGUUUCUGGACCACAGGUUCUAGAACAGCUUCUAUCCCAGUUCUAUCUGCCUGUUAAAUCAGUUUCUGGACCACAGGUUCUAGAACAGCUUCUAUCCCAGUUCUAUCUGUCUGUUAAAUCAGUUUCUGGACCACAGGUUCUAGAACAGCUUCUAUCCCAGUUCUAUCUGCCUGUUAAAUCAGUUUCUGGACCACAGGUUCUAGAACAGCUUCUAUCCCAGUUCUAUCUGCCUGUUAAAUCAGUUUCUGGACCACAGGUUCUAGAACAGCUUCUAUCCCAGUUCUAUCUGCCUGUUAAAUCAGUUUCUGGACCACAGGUUCUAGAACAGCUUCUAUCCCAGUUCUAUCUGCCUGUUAAAUCAGUUUCUGGACCACAGGUUCUAGAACAGCUUCUAUCCCAGUUCUAUCUGCCUGUUAAAUCAGUUUCUGGAUCACAGGUUCUAGAACAGCUUCUAUCCCAGUUCUAUCUGCCUGUUAAAUCAGUUUCUGGACCACAGGUUCUAGAACAGCUUCUAUCCCAGUUCUAUCUGUCUGUUAAAUCAGUUUCUGCACCACAGGUUCUAGAACAGCUUCUAUCCCAGUUCUAUCUGCCUGUUAAAUCAGUUUCUGGACCACAGGUUCUAGAACAGAUUCUAUCCCAGUUCUAUCUGCCUGUUAAAUCAGUUUCUGGACCACAGGUUCUAGAACAGCUUCUAUCCCAGUUCUAUCUGCCUGUUAAAUCAGUUUCUGGACCACAGGUUCUAGAACAGCUUCUAUCCCAGUUCUAUCUGCCUGUUAAAUCAGUUUCUGGACCACAGGUUCUAGAACAGCUUCUAUCCCAGUUCUAUCUGCCUGUUAAAUCAGUUUCUGGACCACAGGUUCUAGAACAGCUUCUAUCCCAGUUCUAUCUGCCUGUUAAAUCAUCAACCUAAACUGUUGUCAUCAGACUAUUACAACAUGACUGAACUUUUGGUUCCUUUUCUG